CUGAUUGACUAUACCAACGUGGCACGUUAAGUUAAUGAUGUGUCAGUUAAAUGCCAACCUGGAUAGGCAGAUUAAUGGGCCAUCCAACCCGCCCCUAACAAUUCCAUUAAAAAUAAACAAGUUUCAUAUGUGAUGACACAGAACUCCUCUUUUACUCUCUAGAAUUACAAAAAAUCCUAAUGCCCUCCCUUCCAAAAUUCGUUGAAGACACUUGCUUGGAGGAAGACAUUGGUCCCAACAGAGCUAUUGACGGCGUUUUGACGGCGUCGUGACGGAAGAACUGUCUGUUUAGAAAUGUCUAACUUUGUAGUACUCGUGUUUCACCAUGGUGGGAGACUUGGAAAGGAUAGUAAUAGGGUGUUGAAGUAUUUGGAUGGAAAGGUACAUAAAUUUUCUCCAAUGGACUUAGAUUUAGUGAACUUUUUUUAUCUAGAAGAACUACUAAAGAGUUUAGGGUAUGCUGAUUAUGCUGUAAUGUACUGGUUAGAACCCACAGCUCGAAAUUUAGAAUUUGGUCUGCAUGUGAUUAAGAAAGAUUCUGAGAUAAAUGAUUUGAGAAACAGUUUAUUGG